rnacentral:rRNA from 1 species
CAGCAGCCGCGGGAAUACGUAGGGUGCAAGCGUUAAUCGGAAUUACUGGGCGUAAAGCGUGCGCAGGCGGUUAUAUAAGACAGAUGUGAAAUCCCCGGGCUCAACCUGGGAACUGCAUUUGUGACUGUAUAGCUAGAGUACGGCAGAGGGGGAUGGAAUUCCGCGUGUAGCAGUGAAAUGCGUAGAUAUGCGGAGGAACACCGAUGGCGAAGGCAAUCCCCUGGGCCUGUACUGACGCUCAUGCACGAAAGCGUGGGGAGCAAACAGGAUUAGAUACCCCGGUAGUCCCUGUCUCUUAUAC